GAGACUUAACUUGCAGCAAAAGGAUCAGACACAAUAUGGGACUUUUCCUGUGAUGCUUGCAAUAAAAACGAGGCUCAGUUUUACUGUGAAGGGUGUUCAAAGUGUUACUGCGAUAAUUGUGUGAAACUACACAACCAGCUAUUUAAGUCUCACUCUUUGUUCGGCAGAGAACGAAUGGAGAAAUGGCCGAUUGUCAAGUCAACGUUAGACGUACUGGAGCAGUGUGAAGAGCAUAGUGAUGAAAAACUAAAACUGUUCUGUGAGGACCAUAGCCAACUUUGUUGACACAUUUGCGUGGCACUUCAUCACAGCCUUAGGAUGAUGGUAGAGAGCAGGACUACAAUUCUGAGGAUCGCGGGUUUGAUUUCUGUUCUGGUCGGGUCAAAUAACUUUAAUGAUGAAUGAUAACAGGGUUUUUUUCUGCUAUGUUAUAAAGGCCGUAAAACUGACCCAAUCCCAAAGCAAACGGACCAAAUCCUAAACCUAGGUGAAACUGUUAGACAAGAAAUACCCGUGUUUGAGAAACUUCACAGUGCCUCAGUAUUCAAAUGACAUGUGUCUAACAUCUCCGAGUGAGGUGGUUGGGUGGUUGUUACUUGUUACAACGUAUGAGCAACCCAUUGGCGGUCCACAAGGUCUUCACAUGAUAACUGUGCAGAAUGACAGGUUGGAGAAGGGAAGGACGCUUCAGCAGCAACACAGGUGUGUUGAUGUUACCCACCAUGAAGAUGCUCUGUUUGUAACUUCCGAGAAAGCUGUGUAUCAAUACACUCUGACUGGAAUAGUAAUAUAGAAACUGUACGAGGACACGACAGGAUCUAAUACAGUGUACGAAUGUGCUGUAAACCUCAUGGGUGACAAUAUCUACAUGAACAACAUGGACAAACACACACUUCUCACACUGGCCAUGGGUGGAGCAGUUAUCUCAACCUUUUCUGACACUGACCCAAAAUUCACAAGAGGUGUUCAUGUGACAGCUGGUGGACAUGUGCGUGUUUGUGGCUAUGCAUCAAACACGAUUAUACAGUUGGACAGCGAGGGAAAACAAGAGGAUUUCCAUACUGGCUACUGAGAAGGACGAAGAAGACGGUCCAAGUGUAGUUUUCUACAGUUGCAGCACUGAUUCAGUGCUCGUAGUUGAUGAAAACCAUAUCAUUAUAGUUUUUAAAGUAACAUAGGCAGGGACAGAACAAAUCAUGAAA